UUUCACUCAGGAUCAACGUUGUAAGGUAAAUAUGGGCUCAAAUAUUCACUUAUUCCUCCUUAAACGUUCACAAACCAUCAUCCUACUACUUCCUGUCGUCGUCUUCUUCGUCGUUUUCGCCAAUAACAACAUCCGGUUGUUGAUCACGUGACUCGGGUGACGCGAAAAAAGCAGUUUUGCUAAAUACGUCUAUUUUGAGAAACCACCGUAUCUUAGCGCAAGAGCUUUCGAAAUUGGCAGGUUUUCCAUUAAGCAAAUUUAUUUUCCUUAUUUUGCGCAAUUUUAUGGUUAAUGGAAAUGCAACCUGUUAGUCUCUUAUUAAUAAUUUUCUAUCAAUUUCCUAUCAUUCAACACCUCAAAUUAACUCAGACUUUCUUUAUGUAGUGAGUGAAUACUUCUGACGCAUCCAGUUUGCAACUUGAACUUCGACUGUAAACGGUCAAAAGUAAUUUAGGCUAAUUCAGAUCAUGCAUAUUCGAUUACAGUUUUAAUGAACAUUUCACUGUAAACACACACUCGUGUUUCCUUCAGAAAGAGUCUUCAGAUUUUAUCCGCAGGAACAUGGCUCAAGUACAGGUGCUUUUUAAUGACGGCAGUCCCUCUCUCCUCAUCUCUGGGAUUUAUGGACAGCUGGGGCCUUCAGGCCCCAUUCUCCAGCUGCAACAGGACUCGAUCCUCUUAUUCUGUCUGAGCCUCAGGACCCGAAGCUCAGUUUUCAGAAUAAAUUGUUAUUCCACCCAAAUGGGGGCAUGAUGACAUCAGCUCCACCGUCUAAUGUGUUUGCGCAGCCUUGAUGUGGAGUCAGUAAAGUUGUAAAGAGAGAUGCAGCAGAUAAUUUA